UAAGUCAGAUGUGAAAUCCCCGGGCCAACCUGGGAACUGCAUUAGAAAACUGGCAAGACUAGAGUCUCGUAGAGGGGGGUAGAAUCCAGGUGUAGCGGUGAAAUGCGUAGAGAUCUGGAGGAAUACCGGUGGCGAAGGCGGCCCCCUGGACGAAGACUGACGCUCAGGUGCGAAAGCGUGGGGAGCAAACAGGAUAGAUACCCCUGGGUUCCACGCUGUAAACGAUGUCGAUU
rnacentral:rRNA from 1 species